GAGGAGCUUGCUCUUCAAAUCGAGUGGCGAACGGGUGAGUAACGCGUGAGGAACCUGCCUCAAAGAGGGGGACAACAGUUGGAAACGACUGCUAAUACCGCAUAAGCCCACGGCUCGGCAUCGAGCAGAGGGAAAAGGAGAGAUCCGCUUUGAGAUGGCCUCGCGUCCGAUUAGCUAGUUGGUGAGGUAACGGCCCACCAAGGCGACGAUCGGUAGCCGGACUGAGAGGUUGAACGGCCACAUUGGGACUGAGACACGGCCCAGACUCCUACGGGAGGCAGCAGUGGGGAAUAUUGCACAAUGGGGGAAACCCUGAUGCAGCGACGCCGCGUGGAGGAAGAAGGUCUUCGGAUUGUAAACUCCUGUUGUUGAGGAAGAUAAUGACGGUACUCAACAAGGAAGUGACGGCUAACUACGUGCCAGCAGCCGCGGUAAAACGUAGGUCACAAGCGUUGUCCGGAAUUACUGGGUGUAAAGGGAGCGCAGGCGGGAGAACAAGUUGGAAGUGAAAUCCAUGGGCUCAACCCAUGAACUGCUUUCAAAACUGUUUUUCUUGAGUAGUGCAGAGGUAGGCGGAAUUCCCGGUGUAGCGGUGGAAUGCGUAGAUAUCGGGAGGAACACCAGUGGCGAAGGCGGCCUACUGGGCACCAACUGACGCUGAGGCUCGAAAGUGUGGGUAGCAAACAGGAUUAGAUACCCUGGUAGUCCACACCGUAAACGAUGAUUACUAGGUGUUGGAGGAUUGACCC
rnacentral:rRNA from 1 species